rfam:Dipodomys ordii contig_14963, whole genome shotgun sequence.
GGUGGCUCAGUGGUAGAGCGCUUGUCUUGCAUGCAUGAGGUCCUGGGUUCGAUUCCUCAGCACCA